UCCGGAUAUACUCCGGCAGUCUCACUAAAGUGCUCAAUUCGAUGCAACGCGAAGAACCUUACCAGGCCUUGACAUGCGGGGUGAAACCGUAGAGAUACGGCGCUCCUCGGAGCCCGCACAGGUGGUGCAUGGCUGUCGUCAGCUCGUGCCGUGAGGUGUUGCCUUAAGUGGCGCAACGAGCGCAACCCCUGUCCUUAGUUGCCAGCGGGUAAUGCCGGGAACUCUAGGGAGACUGCCGGUGCCAAACCGGAGGAAGGUGGGGAUGACGUAGACCUUGGACC
rnacentral:misc_RNA from 1 species